AUGAAGAACGUAGCGAAAUGCGAUAAGUAAUGCGAAUUGCAGAAUUCAGUGAGUCAUCGAAUCUUUGAACGCACAUUGCGCCCUGUGGUAUUCCGCAGGGCAUGCCUGUUCGAGCGUCAUUUCAACCCUCAAGCUCUGCUUGGUGUUGGGCCCCGCCCGCUCGCGGCCGGCCCUAAAGACAGUGGCGGCAGCGCCUGGCUCCAAGCGUAGUACAGCUCUCGCUCUGGGGCUAGGCGGUAGCCUGCCAGAACCCCCCUUCUAUGGUUGACCUCGGAUCAGGUAGGGAUACCCGCUGAACUUAAGCAUAUCAAUAAGCGGAGGA
rnacentral:misc_RNA from 1 species